rnacentral:tRNA from 6 species
GGGAGGUUAGCUCAGGGGUAGAGCGAUCGCCUCACACGCGAUAGGUCGCUGGUUCGAAACCAGCACUUCCCACCA